rnacentral:rRNA from 1 species
GUCUUUUUGGUUAUUUAAUAUAAAGUCUGACCUGCCCACUGAAUUUAUUUUGAAGGGCCGCAGUAUUUUGACUGUGCAAAGGUAGCAUAAUCAUUAGUCUUUUAAUUGAAGGCUGGUAUGAAUGGUUGGAUGAGGUACAAGCUGUGUCAUAAAAAUUAAUUUUUGAAUUUACCUUUUUAGUCAAAAGGCUAAAAUGUUCUUAAAAGACGAGAAGACCCUAUAGAGCUUUAUAUAAUUUAUAUUUAAAUUAUUAAGAUUUUUUAAAUUUAAUUAUUUUAUUAUAUUUUGUUGGGGUGACAAUAAAAUUUAUUGAACUUUUAUUUUUAUUAAUCAUUUAUUUAUGUUUAUAUGAUCCAGUUUUAUUGAUUAUAAAUUUAAGUUACCUUAGGGAUAACAGCGUAAUUUUUUUUGAGAGUUCUUAUCGACAAAAAAGAUUGCGACCUCGAUGUUGGAUUAAGAGUAAUUUUGGGUGUAGAAGUUCAAAGUUUAAGUCUGUUCGACUUUUAAAUUCUUACAU